UACGUAGGGUGCAAGCGUUAUCCGGAAUUAUUGGGCGUAAAGAGCUCGUAGGCGGUUUUGUCGCGUCUGCUGUGAAAAACUGGAGGCUCAACCUCCAGCCUGCAGUGGGUACGGGCAGACUAGAGUGCGGUAGGGGGAGAUUGGAAUUCCUGGUGUAGCGGUGGAAUGCGCAGAUAUCAGGAGGAACACCGGUGGCGAAGGCGGCAUCCUGGACCGACAUUGACGCUGAACGGCGAAAGCUAGGGGAGCAAACGGG
rnacentral:rRNA from 1 species